AUUUAUUUACAGGCUCUAACAUUUGUAUCAUUUCUAAAGUCCAGAUCAAGCGACCUCGGAAGAAAUUUUUUCUUAAUUACUCAAUUGCUGUCACUGGAUAGGUUUGAUAUGAUACUUUACUUUUGAUCUUAGAUUUCCAGACUCGCAACAAUUUCUAAAAAAUUGGGUAGUAAACACACACAUGUAGGCUGGAAAUAUUAAACACUAGCAAGAUGCAUCCUUCCAACAUUUU